CCCGGUCGAACCGACCUAUCCGAGAUCCGAAAUAUGCUCUCCACCCUAAUCGAUAGGACGCAGGGCCAGGACCGAGCAAAUCGAGCCCUAGCAGAAAGAGUCGAAAGACAAGAGCAGGAACUCGCACUGUGUAGUUCCUACCUCCGCAGUUCGACUCCCUCUACGAGUGUCCGGCCCCCCUUUACGUCGACGCUACCGCCAUCAUGUAUGAGCCCUCCCCCCAGGACUCACCUAGAUUUCUCCACCAUACACGUCACCCCAGCGGGAGCUCGACUUCCGUCGAUAAUCCAUAACGAAACCCCGUUAGCCGAGGUGCCACCCCCACCUCCGCCAAUUCGAGGCCNN
rnacentral:lncRNA from 1 species